GAAAUGCGAUAAGUAAUGUGAAUUGCAGAAUUCCGUGAUUCAUCGAAUCUUUGAACGCACAUUGCGCCCUCUGGCAUUCCGGGGGGCACGCCUGUCCGAGCGUCAUUACGCACCCUCAAGCCCGGCUUGUGUGAUGGGCCCUGGCGUCUCGUUCGCGAGACGGGCCCGAAAGGCAGCGGCGGCGUCGACCCGAUGAGCCCGAGCGUAUGGGGACUUUUGUCACACGUUUGCGGUGCGGACCGGCGCCUGCUUGACUUUUCUGAUUAUCCAGGUUGACCUCGGAUCAGGUAGGGAUACCCGCUGAACUUAAGC
rnacentral:misc_RNA from 1 species